rnacentral:tRNA from 1 species
AGGGGUAUAGCCAAGCGGUAAGGCAUCGGGUUUUGAUCCCGCGAUCCCUGGUUCGAAUCCAGGUACCCCUGCCA